rnacentral:rRNA from 1 species
UCCUGACCGUGCAAAGGUAGCAUAAUCACUUGCCUAUUAAUUGUAGGCUAGAAUGAAGGGACAAACGAGAAUACACCUGUCUCCUUUAAGCCCUUAAAAAUUUAUCUUUAAGUGAAGAAGCUUAAAUUCAUAUGCAGGACAAGAAGACCCUAUAGAGCUUUACCUAAAAUCUACAUAAAUAGUAGCUAGCGGUUCGGUUGGGGCGACCGGGGGACAUUCAUCACCCCCAAACUAAAAGAUAUACCUAUCCCACCAAAGAUCCUUACUCAAGAUCAAAGAAUCAAGCUACCUUAGGGAUAACAGGCUAAUCCUCUUAGAGAGCCCUUAUCGACAAGAGGGGUUGGCACCUCGAUGUUGGCUUAGGACUUCUCC